rnacentral:rRNA from 1 species
AACGAACGCUGGCGGCAGGCUUAACACAUGCAAGUCGAACGGGUGUAGCAAUACAUCAGUGGCAGACGGGUGAGUAACACGUGGGAACCUUCCUAGAGGUACGGAACAACGCAGGGAAACUUGCGCUAAUACCGUAUACGCUCUUGCGAGGAAAGAUUUAUCGCCUUUAGACGGGCCCGCGUCGGAUUAGCUAGUUGGUGGGGUAACGGCUCACCAAGGCGACGAUCCGUAGCUGAUCUGAGAGGAUGAUCAGCCACACUGGGACUGAGACACGGCCCAGACUCCUACGGGAGGCAGCAGUUGGGGAAUCUUGGACAAUGGGCGCAAGCCUGAUCCAGCCAUGCCGCGUGAGUGAAGAAGGCCUUCGGGUUGUAAAGCUCUUUGUCAGGGACGAUAAUGACGGUACCUGAAGAAUAAGCCCCGGCAAAACUUCGUG